GAUGAACGCUGGCGGCGUGCCUAAUACAUGCAAGUCGAGCGAACAGACGAGGAGCUUGCUCCUCUGACGUUAGCGGCGGACGGGUGAGUGACACGUGGAUGACCUACCUAUAAGACUGGGAUAACUUCGGGAAACCGGAGCUAAUACCGGAUAAUAUAUUGAACCGCAUGGUUCAAUAGUGAAAGACGGUUUUGCUGUCACUUAUAGAUGGAUCCGCGCCGCAUUAGCUAGUUGGUAAGGUAACGGCUUACCAAGGCAACGAUGCGUAGCCGACCUGAGAGGGUGAUCGGCCACACUGGAACUGAGACACGGUCCAGACUCCUACGGGAGGCAGCAGUAGGGAAUCUUCCGCAAUGGGCGAAAGCCUGACGGAGCAACGCCGCGUGAGUGAUGAAGGUCUUCGGAUCGUAAAACUCUGUUAUUAGGGAAGAACAAAUGUGUAAGUAACUAUGCACGUCUUGACGGUACCUAAUCAGAAAGCCACGGCUAACUACGUG
rnacentral:rRNA from 1 species